GGGAGUGGGGGUAAUAAUCAUAGGGGGAGGAAGAGGGUUUGCUGUAGGGGUAGGAGGAGGGUGUACUGCAGAGGAAGGAGGCGGGUGUGCUGUAAGGGUAGGAGGCGGGUGUACUGUAGGGGUAGGAGGCGGGUGAACUGUAGGGGUAGGUAGUGUAGUAGGCACCCUAAGUACAUACUUUGGGGCCUCUUGUUGCCUCUUUUUAGGCCUUGCUACCCCCUUUUCUUUAUCAGGACGGUCUGAACCUUCUCCCGUCAUUGCUGCAUUGAAAUGGUUACAAAUAAAGUGAAACAAUACAAAAGAAUAAGGAAGGAUCACUA
rnacentral:lncRNA from 1 species